UACAGAGGGGGCAAGCGUUGUUCGGAAUUACUGGGCGUAAAGGGCGCGUAGGCGGCCCUCUAAGUCGAACGUGAAAUCCCUCGGCUCAACCGGGGAACUGCGUCCGAUACUGGUGGGCUCGAAUCCGGGAGAGGGAUGUGGAAUUCCGGGUGUAGCGGUGGAAUGCGUAGAGAUCCGGAGGAAGACCGGUGGCGAAGGCGGCCUGCUGGGCAGUUACUGACACUGAGUGCGCGACAGCGUGGGGAGCAAACAGG
rnacentral:rRNA from 1 species